AGUCCUGUGGUCUAGUGGUAUGAUUUUCGUCUCACAUUCAAUAUCAGCUCAAGUUGAAGUGCACACGAAAGGUCCCGAGUUCGAUCCUCGGCGGGACUA